GGAUCAGCAUGCCGCGGUGAAUACGUUCCCGGGCCUUGUACACACCGCCCGUCACACCAUGAGAGUCGGGAACACCCGAAGUCCGUAGCCUAACCGCAAGGGGGGCGCGGCCGAAGGUGGGUUCGAUAAUUGGGGUGAAGUCGUAACAAGGUACC
rnacentral:rRNA from 1 species